AAAAAUUCGAGUAGUUUGAAUCUUAAACGAGUCGAGUAUAACCUUGCUCAGAUUCUACUCAUAUUUUUAUUCGAACUAUUUUUAAUGCUCAGAUUUGGAUCAUAUUAUUAACGAAUUCGAGUCUCGCUCGUAUUUUUUCGAGUCGAGCCCGAACUGUGUUGGCUCGUUUACAGCCUCACUUUUGUCUUCACUCCAGAUAUGCAACUGUAACACUCCAAUUUUGCAUCGAAAGAUAUGAUAAAAAUUUGUCCGUGUAUAAGAAAUUAAAUUGCUACCAAUACCUUUAGUUAUGACAUUUUGAGUGAGCCUGUGGUGAGUUAAGAUGACCCAAUAAGAUAUUAUUGGGCUAAUAAUUUAAGGACUUGUUUGAAUUUGGGUUUCAGUUGCUCUCAGGUGAAAAAUCGUUUACAGUGGUAUCUAAAACUACUAAGUUUUGAAAUUGAUGGUGGAGGAGAAGAAC
rnacentral:lncRNA from 1 species